UACUUCAGCAGCAGUUGUAAACAUUAAAAUUUAUUGGGCAAGAUGUAUGUCAAGAAGCAGCCAUAACUUUGCAUGAAAAUACAAUCGCAACACAGAUUUUUAUACAAUAUAUCGGGACAGUGUGACAGUCCAAAUAUGUUCCUGGUAGUAUUCUGACAUCUAGUGGCUCAAUAUCACUACUGCACUCACGGUUCAGGUUGAUGGUGUUUUCUUGCAGUCUCACAAAUCCUUGGCAAAAAGCACAAAUGCAGUCAUUUAGUUAUCUUCUAAAAUUAUAGCUGCAGUAAAAACUUAUGAACACUAGCAUUUCUCAUAGGUUUUGUACAUUAAAAACAGUUGGUUCAGCUUUAACAUGACUGCCAGAAUUACUUUUUAGUAAUGUUUAAGAGGUCACUGGUUUGGUUAGGAAAUCCUGUGCCACAGUGGCCAUGAAUGCACACCCAGAAAGGUCAUGAACUGCCAAACUUUAUUUUCUGAUAAAACAAAGGACAGCGUUAAAACAUUUCAACACUGUAACGACAUUCACUCACUGUCUUACUUGUGUGAAA